rnacentral:rRNA from 1 species
CAGCAGCCGCGGUAAUACGUAGGUGGCAAGCGUUGUCCGGAAUUAUUGGGCGUAAAGGGCUCGCAGGCGGUUUCUUAAGUCUGAUGUGAAAGCCCCCGGCUCAACCGGGGAGGGUCAUUGGAAACUGGGAAACUUGAGUGCAGAAGAGGAGAGUGGAAUUCCACGUGUAGCGGUGAAAUGCGUAGAGAUGUGGAGGAACACCAGUGGCGAAGGCGAUUCUCUGGUCUGUAACUGACGCUGAGGAGCGAAAGCGUGGGGAGCGAACAGGAUUAGAUACCCGCGUAGUCCCUGUCUCUUAUAC